UUGGAGGGCAAGUCUGGUGCCAGCAGCCGCGGUAAUUCCAGCUCCAAUAGCGUAUAUUAAAGUUGUUGCAGUUAAAAAGCUCGUAGUUGAACUUCGGGGUUUACCCAUUGGUCAGGCUUAAUUGUCUGCACUGGUGAGAUGAAUCUCUACCUUCUGAGGAACUUUCAUGCCAUUUAUUUGGUGUGAUGGGAAAUCAGGACUGUUACUUUAGAAAAAUUGAGUGUUUAAAGCAGGCUAACGUCUGAAUACAUUAGCAUGGAAUAAUGAAAUAGGACGGACUGAUUCUAUUUCGUUGGUUUCUAGGAUCACCGUAAUG
rnacentral:rRNA from 1 species